AGCAGCCGCGGUAAUUCCAGCUCCAAUAGCGUAUAUUAAAGUUGUUGCAGUUAAAAAGCUCGUAGUUGAAUUUCGGGGUCAGUAGAUUGGUCGUGCCACUGGUAUGUACUGGUCUUACUGGCUCCUCCUUCCUGAUGAACCGUAAUGCCAUUAAUUUGGUGUUGCGGGGAGACUGGACUGUUACUUUGAAAAAAUUAGAGUGUUUAAAGCAGUCUAACGCUUGAAUACAUUAGCAUGGAAUAAUGAAAUAGGACGUUCGAUCUUAUUUUGUUGGUUUCUAGGAUUGACGUAAUGAUUAAUAGGGAUAGUUGGGGGCAUUAGUAUUCAAUUGUCAGAGGUGAAAUUCUUGGAUUUAUUGAAGACUAACUACUGCGAAAGCAUUUGCCAAGGAUGUUUUCAUUAAUCAAGAACGAAAGUUAGGGGAUCGAAGACGAUCAGAUACCGUCGUAGUCUUAACCAUAAACUAUGCC
rnacentral:sRNA from 1 species